rnacentral:misc_RNA from 1 species
GUUACUAACCAUAAUAUUGGCAUGUAUACGUAAUACAUUUAUGAAUCACUGGCUAGGUUUCUACCAAUUUCAUUGAAAAGCAUGACUGCUACAAAUUACACAGUGAACUGCUUGGCUGUUUCCAUUUAACUUCAACUCCAAUUGUUGAAGAUUGAUUAACCCAAGAAGAGAUUAAGCGGUGAGCAAUUGCAAAGGGGCCAGGGAAAAACAUUGGAGCAAGCUAACCACUUUCUACAUUAAAAUCUGCCGAUAAAUUCUGUCCUUUCUCGACACCCCUGCACAUCUGAUCAACCUUGGCAGCUGCUGUUCUUUGUGCCUUCUCAUAUUCUGCAACCAUCAAUGCUUUUUGGACGUCUUCUCUGCUGUGCCAUGUAGCAUCUUCCAACUCUUCCUUGUCUACAUUUAUUUCAAGUGAUUUUGCAUAGGCAAAGAAACCCACCAUGAGCUGGCAUGGCAUGCUAUUUGGGCCAACUGGCCAUGGCUGGGAACUAUGAUAGACAACUUCUCCCACUUCAAUACCAGUCUCCUCCCAUGUUUCUCUCCUAAUUGCCUCUUCUAAGCUUUCUCCUGGCUCUAUGAAACCAGCUAAGCAACUCCACAUUCGGGGUACAAAUCUUGACUGUCUGCUUAGAAGGACACGGUCAUUUUCUCUAUCAAUAACCAACAUGAUCACCACAUGACCCGCAAUAGCCAAAUCCCCCAUG